UACGUAGGGUGCAAGCGUUGUCCGGAAUUAUUGGGCGUAAAGGGCGCGUAGGCGGCUUGGCAAGUGGAAGGUGAAAUCCCUCGGCUUAACCGAGGAACUGCCCUCCAAACUGCUUUGCUUGAGGCCGGGAGAGGCGAGUGGAAUUCCCAGUGUAGCGGUGAAAUGCGUAGAUAUUGGGAGGAACACCAGUGGCGAAGGCAGCACUCUGGGACGGUACUGACGCUGAGACGCGAAAGCGUGGGGAGCAAACAGG
rnacentral:rRNA from 1 species